rnacentral:tRNA from 1 species
GGGCUCGUGGUCUAGUGGUUAUGACGCCUGCCUCACACGCAGGAGGUCGGGGGUUCGACUCCCCCCGAGCCCA